rnacentral:tRNA from 1 species
GCGAGGGUGGCGGAACUGGUAUACGCGCUGGAUUUAGGAUCCAGUGGGGCAACCCAUGGGGGUUCGACUCCCCCCUCUCGCA